rnacentral:tRNA from 44 species
UGGUCGGGAUAGCUCAGCUGGUAGAGCAGAGGACU